CAGCUACCACGCCCCCUGCACAGAGAGAACACACCUCCCAAGCAGCCAUACAGCCCAAGCCGUAACAGUAGUGGCUUUGAAGAGGACAUAAAUUUAGUUCCCAGCUUGGAAAGUGCUGCCGGAAAAGUAAGAACCAUCCCGUCACAUGUUCACACUCCACCCCACAGGCUGUUGCUCCCCUGUCCCAGCCCCGCUCCACCUCCCCUCCUCACACCUCUUCUGGGCCAGAGAUCCGGCUCCAGCUCCUCGACAGCCCUCUCUGCACUGCGACACUUCGUUCCCGUCCGUUGCCUGCUGCCCGCCUGCUAAUCUGGAUUGGUGGGGAGGAACAGAUCGCUGUGAGACAUGGCCGUCCUCUGGAGCCCACAGAACCAGGCCAAGAUGCGAGUGAGCAGUUCUCCAUGUCCAGAGAGGUGCCCCUUGUAAUGUUAUAGGCUUGUAUGCCAUGCAGGCACACGUAGAUCAUAGGUGUGAUGUAAUGUAAAGUAGUGUUCAUUGGGACAGUUAAAGUGGAA